AACAAAGUAUACAAUUUAAUUUA
rnacentral:snRNA from 1 species